rnacentral:rRNA from 1 species
UAAAGGUAUUCCGGUAGACGAUGGGGAUGCGUUCCAUUAGAUAGUAGGCGGGGUAACGGCCCACCUAGUCUUCGAUGGAUAGGGGUUCUGAGAGGAAGGUCCCCCACAUUGGAACUGAGACACGGUCCAAACUCCUACGGGAGGCAGCAGUGAGGAAUAUUGGUCAAUGGGCGAGAGCCUGAACCAGCCAAGUAGCGUGAAGGAUGACUGCCCUAUGGGUUGUAAACUUCUUUUAUAAAGGAAUAAAGUCGGGUAUGCAUACCCGUUUGCAUGUACUUUAUGAAUAAGGAUCGGCUAACUCCGUGCCAGCAGCCGCGGUAAUACGGAGGAUCCGAGCGUUAUCCGGAUUUAUUGGGUUUAAAGGGAGCGUAGAUGGAUGUUUAAGUCAGUUGUGAAAGUUUGCGGCUCAACCGUAAAAUUGCAGUUGAUACUGGAUAUCUUGAGUGCAGUUGAGGCAGGCGGAAUUCGUGGUGUAGCGGUGAAAUGCUUAGAUAUCACGAAGAACUCCGAUUGCGAAGGCAGCCUGCUAAGCUGCAACUGACAUUGAGGCUCGAAAGUGUGGGUAUCAAACAGGAUUAGAUACCCUGGUAGUCCACACGGUAAACGAUGAAUACUCGCUGUUUGCGAUAUACUGCAA